CCCCCUCCGCCGCCGCCCUCCCUUCCUCGCGCGGCUCUGCUCGCUCAGCUCAGCUCAGCGCGGCGCAGCUCGGCAGCCGCCAAGCCGAGACCCGCACGGUCUCCCGGUCGCCAGCGCCGGCUCCGAGCUCCCGCUCCCCGCCCGGGCUCCUCCUGGUCUCGCUUCCACGGGGACCCCUUCGGGCAGGAGUCGCGUGGCGAGGGCCGGCGGCAGCGGCACAAAGUUGGACGCCCGCGAGGAUGAGGCUGUCCCCGGCGCCCCUGAGGCUGAGCCGGAGUCCAGCGCUGCUGGCCCUGGCACUGCCCCUGGCCGCGGCGCUGGCCUUCUCCGACGAGACCCUGGACAAAGUGCCCAAGUCGGAGGGCUACUGCAGCCGCAUCCUGCGCGCCCAGGGAACGCGGCGCGAGGGCUACACCGAGUUCAGCCUCCGCGUGGAGGGCGACCCCGACUUCUACAAGCCAGGAAUCAGCUACCGUGUAACCCUUUCAGCUGCCCCACCGUCCUACUUCAGAGGAUUCACAUUAAUUGCCCUCAAAGAGAACAGAGAGGGUGAUAAGGAAGAAGACCAUGCUGGGACCUUCCAGAUCAUAGAUGAAGAAGAAACACAGUUUAUGAGUAAUUGCCCCGUCGCGGUCACCGAAAGCACCCCACGGAGGAGGACAAGGAUCCAGGUGUUCUGGAUUGCGCCACCAGCAGGAACAGGCUGCGUGAUUCUAAAGGCCAGCAUUGUGCAGAAACGCAUCAUUUAUUUUCAAGAUGAGGGCUCUCUGACCAAGAAACUCUGUGAACAAGAUUCCAUGUUUGAUGGGGUGACGGACAAACCAAUUCUAGACUGCUGCGCCUGUGGAACCGCCAAGUACAGACUCACAUUUUAUGGGAACUGGUCCGAGAAGACGCACCCAAAGGAUUACCCUCGUCGGGCCAAUCACUGGUCUGCAAUCAUUGGUGGAUCCCACUCCAAGAAUUACGUGCUAUGGGAGUACGGAGGAUAUGCGAGCGAAGGUGUCAAACAAGUUGCAGAAUUGGGCUCACCUGUGAAAAUGGAGGAAGAAAUUCGGCAACAGAGUGAUGAGGUCCUCACCGUCAUCAAGGCCAAAGCUCAGUGGCCAGCCUGGCAGCCUCUCAACGUGAGAGCGGCACCCUCGGCUGAGUUUUCAGUGGACAGGACACGCCACUUGAUGUCCUUCCUGACCAUGAUGGGCCCCAGCCCCGACUGGAACGUAGGCCUGUCUGCAGAGGAUCUGUGUACCAAGGAGUGCGGCUGGGUCCAGAAGGUGGUACAAGACCUGAUCCCCUGGGACGCCGGCACUGACAGUGGGGUGACCUAUGAGUCACCCAACAAGCCCACAAUUCCCCAGGAGAAAAUCCGGCCCCUGACCAGCCUGGACCAUCCUCAGAGUCCUUUUUACGAUCCAGAGGGCGGGUCUAUCACUCAAGUAGCCAGAGUUGUCAUCGAGAGAAUCGCCCGGAAGGGGGAACAAUGCAAUAUUGUACCUGAUAACGUCGAUGAUAUUGUCGCGGAUCUGGCUCCAGAAGAGAAAGAUGAAGAUGACACCCCCGAAACCUGCAUCUACUCCAACUGGUCCCCGUGGUCCGCCUGCAGCUCCUCCACCUGUGACAAAGGCAAGAGGAUGCGGCAGCGCAUGCUAAAGGCGCAGCUGGACCUCAGCGUCCCCUGCCCGGACACCCAGGACUUCCAGCCCUGCAUGGGCCCCGGCUGCAGUGACGAAGACGGCUCCACCUGCACCAUGUCCGAGUGGAUCACCUGGUCGCCCUGCAGCAUCUCCUGUGGCAUGGGCAUGCGGUCCCGGGAGAGGUAUGUGAAGCAGUUCCCUGAGGACGGCUCUGUGUGCACGCUGCCCACUGAGGAGACAGAGAAGUGCACGGUCAAUGAGGAGUGCUCUCCCAGCAGCUGCCUGAUGACCGAGUGGGGCGAGUGGGAUGACUGCAGCGCCACCUGCGGGAUGGGCAUGAAGAAGCGGCAUCGCAUGGUCAAGAUGAGCCCGGCGGACGGCUCUGCGUGCAAGGCCGAGACCUCCCAGGCAGAGAAGUGCAUGAUGCCCGAGUGUCACACCAUCCCCUGCUUGCUGUCCCCGUGGUCCGAGUGGAGUGACUGCAGUGUGACCUGCGGGAAGGGCAUGCGGACCCGCCAGCGGAUGCUCAAGUCUCUGGCGGAACUCGGGGACUGUAACGAGGAGCUGGAGCAGGUGGAGAAGUGCAUGCUGCCCGAAUGCCCCAUUGACUGUGAGCUCACCGAGUGGUCUCAGUGGUCGGAAUGUAACAAGUCCUGUGGGAAAGGCCACAUGAUUCGAACCCGGAUGAUCCAAAUGGAGCCACAGUUUGGAGGUGCACCCUGCCCAGAGACCGUGCAACGAAAAAAAUGCCGUAUCCGGAAAUGCCUGAGAAAUCCAUCCAUCCAGAAGCUGCGCUGGAGAGAGGCCCGAGAGAGCCGGCGGAAUGAGCAGCUGAGGGAAGAGUCCGGAGGCGAGCAGUUCCCAGGAUGCAGGAUGCGCCCAUGGACAGCCUGGUCGGAAUGCACCAAACUGUGCGGUGGUGGGAUCCAGGAACGCUACAUGACCGUCAAGAAGAGGUUCAAAAGCUCCCAGUUUACCAGCUGCAAGGACAAGAAGGAGAUCAGAGCGUGCAAUGUUCACCCUUGUUAACAAGGGUGUAAGUUUUCCGGGGCUGCACCCUGGCUUGCACAGUCAUCGAUGGCUGGAGUGUGUGUUUGCUUGUUGUUUAAGGCAAUUUAAAUUGUAUACAUUAGUUUUCAUUUCUGCAGUGUGGUUCACCCACCAGUCUUGUUGAUGCCAGGGACUUCCUUUCUGUCUGCUUCUUGGUAUGCAGAGGCUGCGUGGGGCUCCCUCAUCCCCAGAUGGCCCUCCUCCAGCACAGAAGUUUUCAUUAUGCUUAAUCCAAAUAUGUAUCCCGGAUGAGAUGCAUACGUGGUUUUGAAUACACUACUUUAAGAAUUUGCAUUAAACCCAUCAGGAUGUCUCCAAACACAACAAACAUAUGAUAUUGCCCUGAAUCUGUAUUUUCUUUAACAUCAAAGACCGUUCAAUAAAAAAAAACUCAUUUGGGUC